UAUAUAGUGGCCAAAUUGGUCACUGGCGGCAAUUGGAAGAGAUCGAUGGUGAUUCCGGCAAGCGGAGGCACCAGAGAUGCGGGGCCCUUCUCUCUGCUUUUCGUUAGAUUUCAAAUAAUAAAAAACAGAGAGAGGAGAAGGGAACGACGGAACUCCAUUGACUGAUGCUUUCCCCUUAAUUGCCGGCAUGAUGGGACCACGGUCCAUCGGUGAUCAGGAGAAGCUGGUGGUGAGGGGGCCAGCAAUCCCUGUCUGGAUCCAAAGAUCCAAGCAAACAAGAAAAAAAGGAAUCUGAGGUGUGGC
rnacentral:lncRNA from 1 species